UACGUAGGGUGCAAGCGUUGUCCGGAAUUAUUGGGCGUAAAGAGCUCGUAGGCGGUCUGUCGCGUCGGAUGUGAAAACCCAGGGCUCAACCCUGGGCCUGCAUUCGAUACGGGCAGACUAGAGUUCGGUAGGGGAGACUGGAAUUCCUGGUGUAGCGGUGAAAUGCGCAGAUAUCAGGAGGAACACCGGUGGCGAAGGCGGUUCUCUGGGCAUUACCUGACGCUGAGGAGCGAAAGCGUGGGGAGCGAACAGG
rnacentral:rRNA from 1 species